UAGGGAAUCUUCCACAAUGGGCGCAAGCCUGAUGGAGCAACGCCGCGUGUGUGAAGAAGGGUUUCGGCUCGUAAAGCUCUGUUGUUAAAGAAGAACACGUAUGAGAGUAACUGUUCAUACGUUGACGGUAUUUAACCAGAAAGUCACGGCUAACUACGUGCCCG
rnacentral:rRNA from 1 species